GACGAACGCUGACGGUGUGCUUUAGACAUGCAAGUCGAACGAGAAAGCCCUUCGGGUGAGUACAGUGGCGAACGGGUGAGUAACACGUGGGCAACCUGCCCCUCGCAGGGGGACGAACCGGAGGAAACUCCGGCUAAUACCCCGUAAGCUUGUUGGGUCGCAUGACCCUUCAAGGAAAGGUAGCUUCGGCCAUCCGGCGAGGGAUGGGCCCGCGGUACAUUAGCUAGGUUGGUGGGGUAACGGCCCACCAAGGCGACGANGUAUAGCUGGUCUGAGAGGAUGAUCAGCCACACUGGGACUGAGACACGGCCCAGACU
rnacentral:rRNA from 1 species